rnacentral:lncRNA from 1 species
AUCUCUCUCUCUCUUCAUCUCUUCAUCAGAGAUGAAGAAGAUCAUCAUCUUCAACUUUCGAACAUAUAAGUUUGUUAUAUAAACACAUAAGGCGACUAAGCCGGCCCGUUCUUGCUCCGACGAGAGAGAUCGAGGAGAAAGAAAGUUGCUGAAAGAGAGAGAGGGAAAGACGCCGCCGCCGGCGACGGUUCCGGUGUUGUUCUGACCUCCGGCCGGGGUCACCCACACCCCUGUUUUUAAAGUUGCAGACCACCAUCAGGGGCAAACCCCAUCGUUUCUGACCUUCGGUCGGUGGGUAGGGGUGUUGUGAACCAGUGAUGAUGCCAAAACAGGGGUUGACCCCGUCGUUUCUCCGGCGACACCACUGCCGUCCCCCCUGGGAUGAUUGAUCUGUAAGAUGGGUUUGUGACAAUAACCAUUUCUUCUUGUGUUUCUUCACCAUUUUUUUGGGUUUCUAAUUUUAUCAAAAAUGAGUGAUGGAAAUGGUGCUAAAGUCACCGUCUGUUGAUUUGUUAAAGUGGUUAAAUCUGUGGGUUUUGAUAUGGUCGAUUGUGUGGCGAUGAUGAAAAAAAACGUUGAUUUAGAUGACGAUGGCGCGACAAGUACGGCGGAGGGUAGGUUUUUUGAACCUGCAACCCCACUUUUGCAGCCUUUUGAUUAUUGGAUAAUCUGAGCAAAACCCUGUUUUUUUCGAGAUACACUUUGUUUUGAUGUUAUUGGUUUUUUAUUUUUUCCCCCUAGUCGAUGAUGAUAACGAUAUAUCUGAGACACCUCCCGAGUUUGCGAUUUCUGGUUGCGUUCGUUUUUG